ACGGUGGAGUAUGUGGUUUAAUUCGACGCAACGCGCAGAACCUACCUGGUCUUGACAUCCCGGGAAUCUUGUGGAAACACGAGAGUGCCUCGCAAGGGGAGCCUGGAGACAGGUGGUGCAUGGUUGUCGUCAGCUCGUGUCGUGAGAUGUUGGGUUAAGUCCCGCAACGAGCGCAACCCUUGCUAUUAGUUGCUAACAGGUUAAGCUGAGCACUCUAAUGGGACUGCCGGUGACAAGCCGGAGGAAGGUGGGGAUGACGUCAAAUCAUCAUGCCCUUUAUGACCUGGGCUACACACGUGCUACAAUGGAUGGUACAGAGAGCAGCGAGGCAGCGAUGUGGAGCGAAUCUCAAAAAGCCAUUCUCAGUUCGGAUUGGAGUCUGCAACUCGACUCCAUGAGGUUGGAAUCGCUAGUAAUCGUGGAUCAGCCAAGCCGCGGUGAAUACGUUCCCGGGCCUU
rnacentral:rRNA from 1 species